ACAUGUUAAUGUGCGUGCAAACGUCAGAGGGCGUUCAGGUCUCGGUUGAGACAAAAGGCGAUUGGAAGCUGUUGGAAGAAUCUAGAAGAGUCGGUUGACAAGAAGCGUAGCUCGAGCUGCAGCACGUCAAUUCUACUUCUUGUGGAAUUAACAUGCACCGGGUACGGCUCUUCCUCUCCACGUUCUUCAAGGGCCGCCGACAGAAACUGACGACCAUGGGAGUGCAAUAAAAAGCCAAAGAAGAUUCGAACAUGUCCCCAUACGACGUCUAAAAUCUAUCGAGGAACUUUGAAGCGACUAUCUCGUGUAUUGCUAAUAGACGAUGGGGGCGGUUAGAGGGUUAAUUGGAAUGUCGUUUACUUAACUGGUCAACCGAUCGAUUAAAUAAAUUUUGUCACCGAUCAAUCCGACGUUGAUCGUCACGACGCGAAGUAUCGCGCAACAGUUUUAAGUGCGAUAAUUCGAGUCGCCGAAGCCGCAAGACUAUCGCGUUCUCUUUCGUUCGAAUCGCAUUGCGACACUUACGUUUGCUUUGUACACGCGUUCGCGGUAUCAUUAUGCGUUUCACAAGCUUGUUUGCGCGAGAACACGCGACACGACGAAAGGAACUGCAGACAGCGAGAUUUCGAAGCUGGAAAGUUAUCGUUAUGCGAACGCACCUGUUGUCAAGAUAAUUGGGAUCGUCAUUAUUCAGUAGACAGUCGUGUUUCGAGCGAUCGCACGAUGCUUUAUUAUUCCUCACGGAUUAUUACGUUGUUUUUGCGUCAGCGAGCGUGUAGCGGUGUAUAAAUAAAGGCGGGAGCAAGGGGGAUCCCUUUGAAAAGCUUGGAAGGGUCGACAAGCAACCAAGCAAUAAAUAUUGAUCCAUGCAUCGGUUAAAUGCGAUUUGGUGCUAUUUGUAGCGGUCCCUUUGCAAUCCGAUCAUAAUGAAUUUAUAGAGAUUGCUUGAACACAUUUUGAUCGAACGAUAAGAAUAUCGUAGCGAUUGAAAGGCCGGCGAUAAUAGGGAAACGGAUCCAAACAUUAAAUUGUAUUUAAUGGAAGAGAAUUCUUAAAAUAUGUAACCGCUUGAUUAUUUAGUCAGUGGCACAAGCAUCUUUCCUCUUCGACAGUCAGAUAAAAAUAACAGUAGUCGUUCGGUACGAAUGCCCUGUCUCGAACCAAAUUAUAAUAUAUCUUUUCGUGUGCAAGAUUUUAGCUCGUGGGUUGGAGGAUGGAUUUGUUAUCCAGGAGGCAAGAAAUGUCGAAAAAUCGCUGGUAGAUGGAUACAUAUGUCGACAAGAAAGGGGGAAAACGUAAGAAAGAAAUUAAGAAAACUGUACUGGAGGCGUUGAUAAAUGGGAUAUUGAAACUAGGAAGAGACUCGAGAGUAACGUGAAGGAAAUAUCGAAGUGAAUUGCAAGAGCUUGUAUUCAACUUGUAUUCGAUUAUGAUUACUUUAAGAUAGAGACCAGGUGAAACGAAUAGGUUUGAUGAUUUUCUUUCUCUUUUAUAUAUCUUCGGAUAUAUGACAUAUUUUAUACUAUUUAUAAAGCCGAAUGGGAUAUAUCGUUCAUCUCUUUAGUACGGAAUAACAAAAUAUAACUGUUUCCAUAACUUAGUUAACUAUUCACGUCCAUUGGCAGAUAUCUAAUGAAGUCGUUGAUUUAUUCAGCGAUAAUAAUGAAAUAUUUCCUACGUAACAGACAAUUAGCGAGGCCAUUAGAGCGUUGGUUUGUAAUGCUAGAAUCAUUGUGAACGAUUUUGACUAGAUAAUUAAUCAAUAGGAUAUCAAACUAGUUGGCGAGUCGUUUUACAUUAAAGCAUACGUUACACGAAUCGAUUAAAUUUCGCAUCAAUUGCACAUUUUUCUCUAUUACGAAUCUGUUUCAUUGCGAUCUAAAAUACGAUUUACCGUUUGAAAUAUAUCUGUAUCGUAGAUCCUCCAUAUAUGUUACUAUCAAAUCUGUACAUCGCAUACACAUCCCCUAACGUAAAAGAGAACAGAUGCGAAACAAACAUAUACCAGGUCCACAAAUUGCGUUCCACUAUCGUGGCAACGUCGAUUGAUAAAAUUCAUAAUAAUUAACAAGCUGUGUACCUUUACUAGAGAGAAUUGUUACAAAUACCGAUGGAGUUUGUAAACACAUAUUAAAAAUUAUUCCUCUCUGCUAUGA